CAAAUGACUCUGUGUCACACAACUACAAAAACAUGAAAUUGUCUGCUUUAUGAUAAAUACAAAAAAAUGACAACUCAGGCAGACUGGCAGAGCAGUCAUCAAUAAUAAAACAAGACAUUGCACAAUUUAUUUGCCUGAGAAAUGAGGUUUGCACAUCAAGCUUAGCAAUUCUCUGCAGCUUGCUCGCCUUAUACAAUCAGUCCACAUUGUUAGCUCAACAUAUCCGUCUGAUAUGUUGAGUGGUUUUGGCAAAAGUGGUUUUGGCACGUAAAACCCCACAAUUUAAUUUAAUUUUAACGUUUGCACUACCUUUCCAAAUGCAGGCAGAUUUAGGUGAACAAGCACAUUUAAGGUGGAGCUUAUGUGCUGCUGAUCUAUGGUGUUAAAACACACAUCUUGCUUUAAGUUGGCCUUGUUAGUCAAAGAAACAUAUGUGCCAUAGAAUCUUGACUGUGGGUAAUAUUAGUGAUAGCCACAUUAGACAACUGCACCCAUCCUACUGGAGAGCUUUGCAUUCUCAUGGGAGGAACUUUUGAAGUUCAACCAUGUUAUAGUUCUGUACAGUGAGGUCAAUUUCGUCUCAAGGCCAAUGAACCAGGAACGCAAAACAUUUCUCUAUGGAGUGAACAGCGUACCCUACUUUUUAAAACUUACUAAGCUGAUUGAGCAUAUUUGGGAGCAGGUAGACGUCCUUCAUAGUAAUUUUGUUCAGCUGACGGUAGUCCGCACAGAAGCGCCACGUGCCGUCCUUCUUAACCAAAACCACAGGUGACGCCCAGGGACUCGAAGAAAGCUUAAUGAUGUUUUUAUCUAGCAUUUUGUUCACUUCAGUUAGAAUUACUCGGCGUUCCGAUGCAGAAACUUGAUAUGGUCAUCGGUGAAUAGGCGUAGCAUCGUCAGUAGAAAUCCAAUGCUGGACCGCGAGCGUCUGGCCUAAAGGGCGAUCGUUUGAAGUAAAAAAUAUCUCGGUAGGACGAUAAUACUUUGCAAAGGCUGUCAGCCUGCGCAGAGAACAGGUCCACCGCAACGAUUUUCUUUACGUUGGCAUCGGUGCCCGAGGCUGGUGCGAGGGGCCUGCUAAGCUCAGAAGAACCAUCGGUUGAUAAAGCUGCUACGUGAUGGUCGCCGAGACAAUCAACGUUGACAAGGCAAAUACCUUGCAGUAGGAUUUGCUUUCCCAAUCCAAAGUUAAAGAUAGGCAUGCGAGUAUGGUUAGCAGUAACAGUCAGAAUGCUGUGAGGCACGGUGAUGUCAUACUGUAGUGGAAUGUUGGGCAGGGGAGUGACGAGGUACUCGCCAUCAGGAACAGGUGGGCAACACAACAAUUCAGUAUAGGCUGUUGACUUCGGUGGCAGGCGAAUAAAGCAGGUGGGGUGUAAGCGGCACUGGGGUGCGUUAGAAGGUUCUACGAGAAUCGGCACCUCAAGGCAAAGGGUACUGGCAGAGCAGUCAAUAAGAGCAGGAUGCGCAGAGAGAAAAUCGAGUCCGAGAAUUAGGUCAUGGGGCAAUGAGCAAUUACAGUGAAGAAAACAGGAGUGUGGCGGCCGGCGAUGCUGACACAUGCCGUACAUAUGCUGAUGAUAGGCACAGUACCGCCAUCCGCAACGCGACCAACGCGUGCUGACGCUGGGGUGAAGUGCUUUUUCAGUCGUCAUCGGAAGGCAGCACUUAUAAUAGAAAGAUGUGCUCCUGCAUCGAUGAGUGCAGUGACAGGUGUAAUGGUUGGAGUCGGGCAUGAAAUAGAUGGUAGCUGGCCCAUGCGGUCAUCAAACUUAUCCACACUGAGGACGUUGUUGAAGGGAGAGACUUGUUCUCAUCAAGAACGAGGAAUCUGGGAUUUAUUUACAGUAUCUGCAUGAGAAUGUUACAGUUCAUCAGUCUAACAUGACUGAAAAAAGAAAUGCACCCUGAAGAGCUGCCAACAGUUCCUUAAAUACACUGUCCUCCUGAAAUCCCUAGGUGACGGAACACAGCAGUUCACCGCCGACCAAUUCGGAGCGUCCAAAGUCAUCGUAACCAACCCGCCUUUGAGGGGGACGGUUUAACCUCAUCAAGACGGCAACACAACAAGUCGCGAGAAUGAUAAAGCGGGUAGCCACGAAAAGGACGGGGAUGAAGGAUAAGAACACCCUUUGCCUAAUAAGAAGUCUGGUGGUUAGCCGCUUCAUUUACAGCUUGCCGUAUUACCAGCUAACGAAAACAGAGAGGGAUGCGAUCAAUUCGUGCUUAAGGAAAGCCUACAAGAUCGCCCUACAAAUUUCGCAGUGCGCCCCAACCGAAAAACUCAUGUCUCUAGGAAUUCAUAAUACAUUCGAGGAACUGGCAGACGCUCAGCUGAUAACUCAAAGAAACAGACUCGCACAAACGACCACGGGUAGGAAACUCCUUGGCAGACUCGAGUAUCACGAGCUCCUUGAAAAAACAACCAAACUAAGCCCAUCCCCACAAUAAUCAGAAACUGCAUCAAAGUGGUGCCAAUACCCAUAAAUAUGGACCCAACUCUACAUGCAGGCAGAAGAGAAGCCAGAGCUGCAUACAUUGAAAAAACGCACGGCGACAAACCAAACUCCUGCUUCGUGGACGCGGCAAGAUACCCAGGCAGGCAGAAAAGAACGGUAGCUGCUGUCACUGACUACAUGGGCAGAGAAAUCAUCAGCGCCUCCACUCACAACACCACUAUCGUGGAAGCAGAAGAAAUCGCAAUAGCCCUUGCUAUCAAAGCGACAAAACCAAACCAACAACAAAUAACCAUCCUAUCAGACUCUCAAGCGGCAUGCAGAAACUACCUCAGGGGACGAGUAUGCACCGCAGCCUAUAGGAUUAUGCAAGAUAUAAAACCCCGAGCCAGAUUUCACCUUUUAUGGAUACCCGGUCAUGAGGGAAUCAGGGGAAACGAAGAGGCUGACAGAGUAGCCCGUGCACAUGCUACACCCCACGGGUGCUCACAGGAAGCCUCUGACGACCCGAUCCCGAUUGACCAGAACUACUCUGCAAUUUUAAACUAUCACAGAGGAAAUAGAAUGAAGCUACCACCCCCAGAUAAGAAUCUCACUAAGGAAGAACAGGUUAUAUGGAGAAAGCUGCAAACCUAUACAUAUAACAACCUGCACAUUCUCCAUAAAAUUCAUCCGGAAAGAUAUACGGACACAUGCCCAUGGUGCGGAGCCACGCCAACCUUAGACCACAUCUCGUGGGCAUGCACGGCAUAUCCACAAAAGACAAACACAGAAAUUGCGGAGCAUACACAAUGGGAGGCGGCGCUGUCCAGCUCAAAGGAAGAGGUCCAAAGGGCCAUCAUCCGACAAGCAAGACGGCGCGCGGAAGCCAGUGGGGCCCUUGUCUAGGGGCUCCACCCAUUGAGCGUUUUAUUCUACAAUAAAGUUGUUCUUCUUCUUCUACGCACUCACUUCUGCACAGGUUGCACUGACCACACCGAGGUGAGAGGGUUUUCGCAGACACUGUGCUUGACCCGAGCAGGCACCUUUGACCCUGCAGUCAGUGGCCGCCGCAUCUGUUCGUUGACUGACACGUGAGACGGGUUCUAAGCUGCAUGAGACGGCACCGCAAAAUAUCUUCCAGGAGCUCCCCUGCUCCAAGCAGACCUUGACGGUGUACACACUAACAAUACUUGCUCUGGCUACUGUGUCUAGCCAUCUCGGCACCCUUCCGUUGGGGACACAGCGCAUUGUCCUCCUUACAAAACCAGUUGCCGCCACAGCCAUGGUGGCGCCGAUGGGCUGGGGACUGAUGUCUGGUCGUCCUUUCAAAGCGAGUCGUCACAGCAGAACUGGUGGCGCCUUUCCGUCGGUCCCUUACUCAAAGAUCGCCAGCCCCCGCUGGUCGAACGUAACACAGGAUACCUGUCAAUGCCAAGAAAGUUUUGGUUCGUAGGUAACAUGAGUAGAGAAUUUGAGGGCAGGGUCGACAACACAGCUUCACCUCCAGAAGCUGUAGUGCCUAGUUUUUUGGCUGCAUCCAGGAGGCGAUAGGCGGCGAGGAGAAGCGACGGGCCUGGGGCGAACGAGACUGAUGGCGUUGAGGUGAGGGCGAGUGGCUGUAGCGGAGGUUCGGAGGUGGAGCAUCAGCGGCAGUGGGUUCUAGGCGGGUGGCAUAGGGAACAGUAGGUCCAAAGGUGCAGGAAUAAGCGCAGGUGUAUGUCCGAGGAGGUGGUGGCCAUUGGUUGCGGCAGUGACGAGUCACGUGGUUGAUGUGACAGCAGUGGAAGCAGAUCAGCUUGUCAUCAGGGGUACGCCAUUUGGACAGGUUGGGAUAUGUGGCAUCCAGGAGGCGAUAGGCGGCGAGGAGAAGCGACGGGCCUGGGGCGAACGAGACUGAUGGCGUUGAGGUGAGGGCGAGUGGCUGUAGCGGAGGUUCGGAGGUGGAGCAUCAGCGGCAGUGGGUUCUAGGCGGGUGGCAUAGGGAACAGUAGGUCCAAAGGUGCAGGAAUAAGCGCAGGUGUAUGUCCGAGGAGGUGGUGGCCAUUGGUUGCGGCAGUGACGAGUCACGUGGUCGAUGUGACAGCAGUGGAAGCAGAUCAGCUUGUCAUCAGGGGUACGCCAUUUGGACAGGUUGCGAUAUGUGGCAUCCAGGAGGCGAUAGGCGGCGAGGAGAAGCGACGGGCCUGGGGCGAACGAGACUGAUGGCGUUGAGGUGAGGGCGAGUGGCUGUAGCGGAGGUUCGGAGGUGGAGCAUCAGCGGCAGUGGGUUCUAGGCGGGUGGCAUAGGGAACAGUAGGUCCAAAGGUGCAGGAAUAAGCGCAGGUGUAUGUCCGAGGAGGUGGUGGCCAUUGGUUGCGGCAGUGACGAGUAACGUGGUCGAUGUGACAGCAGUGGAAGCAGAUCAGCUUGUCAUCAGGGGUACGCCAUUUGGACAGGUUGCGAUAUGUGGCAUCCAGGAGGCGAUAGGCGGCGAGGAGAAGCGACGGGCCUGGGGCAAACGAGACUGAUGGCGUUGAGGUGAGGGCGAGUGGCUGUAGCGAAGGUUCGGAGGUGGAGCAUCAGCGGCAGUGGGUUCUAGGCGGGUGGCAUAGGGAACAGUAGGUCCAAAGGUGCAGGAAUAAGCGCAGGUGUAUGUCCGAGGAGGUGGUGGCCAUUGGUUGCGGCAGUGACGAGCGACGUGGUCGAUGCGACAGCAGUGGAAGCAGAUCAGCUUGUCAUCAGGGGUACGCCAUUUGGACAGGUUGCGAUAUGUGGCAGAAAAGGAGUUGGGACAAGGAGGGCCGCUAGAGAAUGGGGGAACGCUGGGUUGAGUCGUUAAACACACAGAGUUCAGACCCAUGUUCUCAAAUUCCUGUCUGACGACGGCCUAAAUCCUGGCAAUUGUGGUUGCUGGCGGGUCGGGAGGUGUCGCGGAGAAGGCUGGCCAACAGGUGGCCUCGAGCUGGCGGUGAACAAUACGGGUUAGGUCAUCAGAGGUGGUCGUCUGAUGUGGUCGACCCUCACAUGUCGAUGUAGCAGCGGUGUUGGGUAGCUGCGUGAUGUGGUGUGUGAUACGGUGGCUCUUAGCUUAUUCAAGGCGACGGCAUUCAUUUAUCAUGGCGCCGAUAGGAAAGACGUUGCCGAAAACAAAAAAUUGAAAGCAUCGUCGGUGAUGCCUUUUGGCCACCUUAUCUGCUUCAGACAUAGUAUCGUGGGCUUUGUGGCAAAGAGACAAGACGUCUAGGAUGUAUCAAACGUAUGGCUCUGUAGAUGUCUGGACAUGAGGCGCAAGAGCCUUUCUCGCGGCAACCUUGCGCCCGAAGGGGUCACUGAACAGUUCUCUUAGCUUUACUUUGAAACUGUCCCAGCUCAUUAUCUCGUCAUGUGUUUGGAGUCACACGCAUGGGGUGCCACCGAGAUAAAAGAUUACAUUAGCAAGCAUAACUGUAGGAUUCCACCUGUUAUUAGCACUGGCGCAUUCAUAGAGCUUGAGCCAUUCAUCAACGUCCUGUCCGUCCAGGCCACAGAAGAGACCAGGGUCACGAUGUUGGGCAACCAUGACGAUAAGAGCAGUCGGACAAGCUGAAGCCGUUGCAGAUGCGGUCUCGUCACCGGGAGGUAUGGUGACAAGCUCGAUAUGCCGACCACUUCGGAGUGCCGUGAAGAGGACAGGGAUCGCUAACCUCCACCAGAAUGUUGCACAGACACAGACAAAAUACACAAAUGAAAGAGGCUAUUUACAUGCUAUCUACACUGGAGCCAGACAGCCAGGCCGACACUCGCUCACGCCAUGAGCCCAGACACACUUCAAUUCUUCCUCGCGGCGGCUCGUCUCUUGAGCAUCUCUCGAUGAGAUCGUAAUAAUAUGAAUGUCUGUACUACAUAGUGUGGUGUGUAGUGCGUGACAUGGUACGGUAGACGGAGAGAGACAAGAAGCAGACGAGAAAGAAUGUGCACGCAGAGGCGAAUUCCGUACUGGAUGGAAGACAACGUUGAAGACUGUCCGGCACGUGAGCACGCAGCACUAGAAGAAUAAAAUAAAAGGAAAAGGCAUCUAAUCAGAAGAAAACACGGAGCUUCCAGGGGCCAAUCAGGAAAGGACAAAUCGACCAGAGCGGCAGAAAAGUGAGGUGCGCUGGCAGAAGAAGGGAGAGUUCCAGGAAGCGACGCCAAGAGAACGUCGGCCACCGGACCGGGAGUUCAAGACCGGCCGGCAGGUUUCGGACCCGAGCCACCAGGACUUCACCCAACCGGGACCUCCUGCCAACCCGUUCCUGGGCUUCGCCACUCUACCCGAUCAUGAACUGCUGCUCGAAACCGGCGAGUUUCUGCGCCUAUGGGCAGAACGAGAGCAGUCGGGCUAUGGGCCCCCAGUUCUACGCCCAGCUGCCUGGCCAGAACGCCACCACCAUCUGCCGCCGCCUGCCUUCCCUCUUCAAACCAGAGCCACUACACUCUGGUUGCCUAUUCAUCUACCGAUCUCAUCGACAUUGCGGUGACACAUUACAUUUUUUUCUGUUUUCCAAAUCCCCUUCACUAAUGAGAAAUUUUGCAGCAUCCCCCCUUCAAGUAUUUAUUGAAGAAAACCUUCAAUCAAGAAUUCAUUCAUGCUGAUGUAAUUAUGCAAUGAAUCACAGAACUUCAUUCAACUUGCUUGAACAAUGAAUAAAGAAAUUAAAUGGAAACCAUUAGUCGGUUGGACUACACCUUAACGUGCAACAUAAUUGGUGAAUGUAUAUCCAUAAUUUAUUUCCUUCCAUGUCCAGUUAAUGUCCAGUCCAGUUAAUUUCAUUUCUCUCAGAAAUUUUCUAAAUUUUUUUUGUGCUUGCAUUACUAUGACCACAGCUAAAAUGCAAGGCGGCAAAUUAUUCACUGCUGCCAAAAAUUAAAUUUUUUUUUGCCACUUGUCGGCAGCAACGCAAGUGGAAAACUACUUAGCAAGAUAUGUAUCUAGCAAAUACAUAUGCAGUUGGCAUCUUCAUAACAACAGAGAGGUGGAUCAUGCUACACUGAGGCUCAAGGGCUAACUGGACAAACCUAGCUGAGCUAGGUGGACCAGUGCAUGGCACUGGCUCUGGUCAGGCCAGGGAAAAGUGUCCAUGCAGUGCUCUACUUUUAUGCACUGUUUUCAAGUACUGAAAUUUCAUCCUUAAAAAAUUUCUUGGUCAUGCAAGCACACUAUGCUCUUCUAUAUCCAUCACAGUUGCCUCUCAUUUUCACAACUACCUAAGCUUUAUAGCUCAAAAUAGCUGUAAAAAUAAGGUAUACUGAAGCAUACACUAAUGUUUUGUUUAUGUGUUCCUGUCGUAUGUUGAAAGGCAACGUUUUGGUUGCAAGGUGCCUUUCAGUUGUUUUGCCUCGGUGCCAUGACAAUGAUGUAUUGUCGAAAAUUCAUUCAACAAGAGAGAUAGCAGUUGAUGCCACAACGUCACGCUUACCUUUUAAGUAGCCGGAACACAUUUUUACACAAAAUGAAUUCGCCCAAGGCGCACGAUCAGCAGGUCACUACAGAUGUUAGUAAAGCACUAUUUAUUUCACACAACUGUUGCACCUUCCUUGCAACUGUUGCAUCUUCCUUUCCUUAAAUUCUUUUCUUUUUCACACGGAAGGGGUGGUUUGCAUAAAAUUAAAAUACCCGGAUACACAAAAAUACGGAGCAGUAAAGAAAGGUAAAGCGGCAGAUGAGCAAUAUUCUCGCUCCAACGUAGUGACAAAUGAGCUGCUGCAAAUGCUUCUUAACAGUCAUGCUUUAACGGUGCGAGUGGUGCCUGCAUUAUGUUUAGAAAAAAUUUACGAUGCACUACCGAGGUUUUGCUUCGUUUAACAUGUUAAAGGUAAACAGCGGGACUCCGCUGUUAUACUCUGCGCCGUCGCAAACUAGUGAAAGGCGUCACAACGCAUAUACAGCGCGUAAAUGGAUAAAGUAAGGCUAUCAAAAGCUCACUUUAAAUGCAAAUCGGAGCGCCGAACCUACGCGUCUUGUUGGAAAGACGAAGCGAGUGCUCUUCAUAACGCAAUAAACAAUGGCCACAUAUCGAUUUAUCAAUAAAGAUCGUUAUAAAACGCUUCUGUGUACUGGCGGUGCAAAAAAUACAAACUGUUUGAAGAAUUUAAACCAUUUAAACUGGGACUGAAUCCUUCAAUGACACGGACGUCCUGCAACAAACCAAUGGAAUAAGUUCCGAGCGCCGAAAACAAGAGUAACGCUUACAAAAAAAAAAAUGGUUUUGCUAGUUUCUGUUUCGGUUUCUGAUGCAUGAAGCGCCACCUGCUUCCUGCAAAAAGUGCCAUGGCAGCUUCCUGUUUACUUUUCGAAGUUGGCGUAACUAACGCAGCUGAGUCUCGAAGCUUUCCUGUGCCGUUAUGCAUGACGCAAUGUCAUUAAAUAGAUGCUGUGUGUAUUUGUGGAGCCUCUAGAAAGUCCUGCAUCGAUACGUGUGUGUCUUUGUAUACGCGCCAUCUCUGGAGGUAAGCAAACCCUCUCAGCCAGCUUGCGCCGACCUUCGUUGCAAGCAAUAUUUCGUUGCGAUAUUUGUAAUUUAACUACAUGCUUUAUCGGUAUGCAGCUGCAUCUGACCGCCACUUCUUAUAGGCCUGAUGAAAAGUGGUAUUGAAACCACUACAUGGGUACUACGUAACCGUAAUCUCUACCGUAAUCUUAACCUGCGUUUUCGUUUCCUUCAGUUCUAGUUCGAUUUCAAAACAAGAUCCCAUUUGUUGGUACUCAUCGUUCAUUAUAUGCUUAGCAUGUUGGCUUCGCCCGAUUUGUCCAGAACAACAUAUAUAUGUAUAUAUCAUCGCCUUAUAACAGGCACGUCGGUAUCGGAGAAGCUCGCAGGUGGGUGUGCCGUUUUCACUGCCUAAAGUACGCAUGAACGACGUAGAUAAUGACAUCUAGUGAUUCAUAAAUAACUUGGAGUAAAGAAAUGCUGUGUUGCUGCGAAAUUUUAGUAGCAACAAAGCAAAGAUACGCCUGAAAUGUUUUUCAGUGAAAUAUUUGUGCACAUACUUGGGGACGUCUUCUGAAACGUUCCACUUCGGCGAUAGUUUGCCUAGGCAACAAUUUCGCCUUCAGGCGCGCGCUGAGAUAAGAUUGCAUAACAAAAUACAAAUUGCAUAGCAAAAUACAGUGGUGACUACCAGCUGAUGCUUUUUGCGGGAAUUACAAUAUAUGUAGCAAUCAAAAUGCAAGAAAAAGUAGCAACAGAAGAAAACAAAUUAAACACCUGUGAGUUUACUCAACCAUGCACUUGUGCAUAUAUAUGCGCUCACAGGUAGUUCUAGCUUUCUUUUAUUAUGUCCGUGUUUUGUUGCAUUACCCAGAUACCAUUCCACGAUGACCGACCAACAAGCCCAUAUUGCCACCCUUGUCGAUUUCAUUUCUAGUACAACAGGCUUUUUUCAAUAUGUUCCUCGAGAUUCCGGGCAUACUGUUGCCCUCAUUGCCAUGGCUGCCAGCAGCACGUGUGUCCUAAGGUUCUGUAUUCAUAACAAGCAGCUUCCACAGGAUAUAAAAUCGUUGUUUACUGGUUUCGCACCAUUCGGAUGUCGGUCACGGAAAAAGAAUUUUGAAGAUUGUACGUGCCAAACAACUUCAGCAGGCGUGUCUCCACAGAGAUUACCUCAGCGUGCAGAUGUUUUAUCAGUAUGAGUCGUGCGCUGCAAAGAAUCUUCUGUGGAGGCACCUGCACUUAGCUGAUCAGGUCACCAAGUUCCUUUGACAACCUCAAAUAAGACUACUACGGGCUCAUGUGAACAAGGAUUGACAGAAAGCAACAAGUGAUGUCUACGUUUCUGAAGGUUUCAUCCUACCCAACAGUGUGUGCAAAGUUCUUGGCCUCGGUCCAAAAUUUGCCCAAGCUACCAGCUGGACUAAACCGGAACUUCCCUGUCCGUCAUAAGUAAAGUGUCCAGAAGAGCCCCGCAAGAAGAUGGUGUGAGGAUGAAUUCGGAAGGUUUAGAUGCCCUGUUGUGAUCAAUCGGCUGCAAGUCUUAAGGAGGCUGGUUACCCUAACAACGUGUUGGUGUCGGUGGCAGAAAGGCUGCUCAAACAGGAACUUUCGAGACGAUGCCUCCGUGCAAAUGCAAGAGCUAGCAGCCGUGACCAGGUGAAAACCGCUGAGAUUCCGUAUAUACGCCAGAUAUCACAUAGCCUGAAAAUGAUAGGAAGCCAAGGUAAUGUGCGGGUGUUUUUUCAGCUCCAAAUAAGCUAAGCACCUUGUGUAAAACCACUAACCCAAUAAGGACAAAUAAGCCGGUUUGUGGUAGCAUUGCAAAGAUGAGUUCGUCGGAUGCGGUGUAGGAGUGGUCUAUCAUAUUCCACUGUCAUGCGGUAGAUGCUACAUAGGCCAAACCGGAAGAUGCAUUAAUGAGAACUUAAGAGAGCACAGAAAUAUAGUGUAUCAGGUGACGAUUUUCUUGCUUUGCAUUGCAAUACAUGUCCAUGUCGCCCUCUUCUAAAUGACACCGCUAUUAUAUACAGGGAUAAGCGCAAGUGUGUAAGAUUAAUAGUAGAAACUGGGCAAAUCCUAUCGGCCGCUGACCAAUGUAUCAGCAAACUAUCACUAUCAUUGUCCGUGAGAAAGUUAGAUUAUUUUCGCAUGCCAUGAAAGUUGACUGCAUUUGCAAUGGGUCAUUUAGGUUUCUUGGUGUUUUUUUGCUGUACCGGUUUUAGACAGUGUGGCUCUACUCAGCCAUAUAUACAGUCGACUUCCAUUAAUUUGAUCAUCUUUCUGGGGUUUUACUUGCCAAAACCAGUUCUGAUUAUGAGGCAUGCCCGUUAAUUCGAUCCUGACGGGACCAUUGAGACUGGUCGAAUUAAACAAAAGGCAUAAAAAAACAUUGAAACGUGCCAUUGCUUCACUUUGCAGUAUUUGCCUUCAAAAUUAACUUUGGCCGCGUUUCAGUUUAGCGCUACACCUGCAACCAUCAACAGCUACGAACUCGCCCAGUUUACUAUUUUUCUUAAUGUUAGCUUCACUGCAAUACAGCCAUGUUAUGCAUAGAACCAUACCAAGCAGGGAAAGGUGCCAUUGUUGCAAAUCAGCACGUGUUCCCUAAAUUACAUACAUGCACAUGUGCAGUCUCCAGUCACAGUAUGAGCACCAAGACGCCUAAUAGGUGUAUGGGCAGGCCUUCAGAGUUUGAUAUAUUCACACUCUUUUGUUGGCUUUUAACAUCUCCUCGGCUUAACGCAGUUUUUUCAACUUACUGCCUUCCUUUUUGCUAGCUUUCCCAAAACACAUGAUUAUUUUCCACUUCUCUGUGCACGGCACAUUUACUUAAAGAAGACAUACUAGGCCUCAUUAACAGUCUCAUACACGAGACAUGCAUGGAAGGUGAAAAAAGGACUCAAAUCACCACUGAAACGUAAGAAACAGCUCUGAAUGGCUGCCACUAUGCUUAUUAGGUGGCUAGGUUCUCCUACUGUGACAGGAAACUGCAUGCUUGUAUAAUCAAGGAACACGUGUGAUGUCCUGUGACAGUGGCCCUUUUCCAUUCUCAAUAUGCUUCACCACAGUAAGUUGCAUAUGCUUCAGCGCAUAACACGGCUGUAUUUGGGCGAAUCUGACCAGUGAGGUUCGAAUUAUCCGACGAAGGCCAAUUUUGAGAUUGAAAUAACAGAAGUUAGGGCUCACAGAAAUGUAUUUCAU